AUUGAACGCUGGCGGCAGGCCUAACACAUGCAAGUCGAACGGUAACAGGGAUCAGCUUGCUGAUUCGCUGACGAGUGGCGGACGGGUGAGUCAUGUCUGGGAAACUGCCUGAUGGAGGGGGAUAACUACUGGAAACGGUAGCUAAUACCGCAUAACGUCGCAAGACCAAAGAGGGGGACCUUCGGGCCUCUUGCCAUCGGAUGUGCCCAGAUGGGAUUAGCUAGUAGGUGGGGUAACGGCUCACCUAGGCGACGAUCCCUAGCUGGUCUGAGAGGAUGACAAGCCACACUGGAACUGAGACACGGUCCAGACUCCUACGGGAGGCAGCAGUGGGGAAUAUUGCACAAUGGGUGCAAGCCUGAUGCAGCCAUGCCGCGUGUAUGAAGAAGGCCUUCGGGUUGUAAAGUACUCUCAGCGGGGAGGAAGGGAGUAAAGUUCAUACCUCGGCUCAUUGACGUUACCAGCAGAAGAAGCACCGGCUAACUCCGUG
rnacentral:rRNA from 1 species